rnacentral:rRNA from 1 species
UACGGGGGGAGCAAGCGUUGUUCGGAUUUACUGGGCGUAAAGGGCGCGUAGGCGGCCACCGCAAGUCGACUGUGAAAUCUCCGGGCUUAACCCGGAAAGGUCAGCCGAUACUGCGGGGCUAGAGUGCAGAAGGGGCAACUGGAAUUCUACGGUGUAGCGGUGAAAUGCGUAGAUAUCGAGAGGAACACCUGCGGCGAAGGCGGGUUGCUGGGCUGACACUGACGCUGAGGCGCGAAAGCUAGGGGAGCGAACGGG